rnacentral:rRNA from 1 species
AUCCAGACUCCUACGGGAGGCAGCAGUGGGGAAUAUUGCACAAUGGGGGAAACCCUGAUGCAGCGACGCCGCGUGAGCGAUGAAGUAUUUCGGUAUGUAAAGCUCUAUCAGCAGGGAAGAAAAUGACGGUACCUGACUAAGAAGCCCUGGCUAACUACGUGCCAGCAGCCGCGGUAAUACGUAGGGGGCAAGCGUUAUCCGGAUUUACUGGGUGUAAAGGGGGCGCAGACGGCGAUGCAAGCCAGGAGUGAAAGCCCGGGGCCCAACCCCGGGACUGCUCUUGGAACUGCGCGGCUGGAGUGCAGGAGGGGCAGGCGGAAUUCCUGGUGUAGCGGUGAAAUGCGUAGAUAUCAGGAGGAACACCGGUGGCGAAGGCGGCCUGCUGGACGAUGACUGACGCUGAGGCUCGAAAGCGUGGGGAGCAAACAGGAUUAGAUACCCUCGUAAG